rnacentral:rRNA from 1 species
CCUACGGGUGGCAGCAGUGGGGAAUAUUGCACAAUGGGCGCAAGCCUGAUGCAGCCAUGCCGCGUGUGUGAAGAAGGCCUUCGGGUUGUAAAGCACUUUCAGCGGGGAGGAAGGCGGUGAGGUUAAUAACCUCAUCGAUUGACGUUACCCGCAGAAGAAGCACCGGCUAACUCCGUGCCAGCAGCCGCGGUAAUACGGAGGGUGCAAGCGUUAAUCGGAAUUACUGGGCGUAAAGCGCACGCAGGCGGUCUGUCAAGUCGGAUGUGAAAUCCCCGGGCUCAACCUGGGAACUGCAUUCGAAACUGGCAGGCUAGAGUCUUGUAGAGGGGGGUAGAAUUCCAGGUGUAGCGGUGAAAUGCGUAGAGAUCUGGAGGAAUACCGGUGGCAAAGGCGGCCCCCUGGACAAAGACUGACGCUCAGGUGCGAAAGCGUGGGGAGCAAACAGGAUUAGAUACCCGUGUAGUC